CGGUGCGGCGGCGCUAAGGCCCCGCGGCGGCGGCGGCGCUGCCGUGUUGACAGCGGCGGCCGCGCCGGGAGCUGCCCCGGGAAGCGGGUUGGCGGCGCCGGUUCUCCGCUCCCAGCUCCGCUAUGGCCUUCAUGGAGAAGCCGCCGGCCGGCAAGGUGCUGCUGGACGACACGGUGCCGCUGACAGCGCAGAUCGAGGCGAGCCAGAGCCUGCACUCGCACACGGAAUACAUAAUCCGUGUCCAGAGAGGAGUUUCAACAGAAAACAGUUGGCAGAUUGUGAGGCGGUAUAGCGACUUUGACUUGCUGAAUAACAGCCUGCAGAUCUCAACUCUAAGUCUACCUCUUCCUCCAAAAAAGUUGAUUGGAAAUAUGGAGCGUGAAUUCAUUGCUGAGAGACAGAAGGGACUCCAGGCCUACCUGGAUGUCAUUACUACCCAUCACAUACUGUCCAACUGUGAACUGGUAAAGAAAUUCUUGGACCCAAACAGCUAUUCUGUAAAUUACACUGAAAUUGCCUUACAGCAUGUUUCAAUGUUCUUCCGAUCAGAGCCAAAGUGGGAAGUAGUUGAACCAUUAAAAGAUAUAGGUUGGCGAAUACGUAAGAAAUAUUUCUUAAUGAAAAUUAAGAAUCAACCAAAGGAACGUCUAGUGUUGAGCUGGGCUGAUCUUGGCCCUGAUAAAUACUUGUCUGACAGAGACUUACAGUAUGCUGUGAAACUUCUUUCUUCCUGUUGUCAUCCCUAUAUUUACAAAAUCACUUUUGCCACUGCCAACGAGUCUUCAGCUCUGGUUAUUAGACCAUUCAGUGAAAAAGGGACACUAAAGGACCUUAUUUAUAAGGCAAAGCCAAAAGACCCAUUCCUGAAGAAGUAUUGCAAUCCUAAAAAAAUUCAAGGUCUUGAACUUCAGCAAAUAAAAACAUAUGGAAGGCAAAUAUUAGAGGUAUUAAAAUUCCUCCAUGAGAAAGGAUUUCCUUAUGGCCAUCUUCACUCUGCCAAUGUGAUGCUGGAUGGGGAUACCUGCAAGUUACUGGAUUUAGAAAAUUCCUUGUUGGGACUCCCAUCAUUUUAUCGAUCAUACUUUUCCCAGUUUCGGAAAAUUAAUACUUUAGAGGGUGUUGACGUUCAUUGCUUUGGACACUUACUGUAUGAAAUGACCUAUGGGAGACCUCCAGACACCAUUCCAGUGGAGAGCUUCCCCCCUGCUCCAUCAGUGUUUGUUGUGUCAGUGUUGGAGUCCAUUCUGACUUGUGAAGCUCUGAAGAAUGGGAUGCCAACUGUCUCCCGGCUCUUACAGAUGCCAUUAUUCAGUGACGUCCUGCUAACAAACUCUGAGAAACCACAGUUUAAGAUUCCUACUAAGCUAAAAGAGGCAUUGAAAAUCUCCAAGGAAUGCAUAGAAAAGCGAUUAACAGAAGAACAGAAAUUGAUUCACCAGCACAGAAGGCUGACAAGAGCUCAAUCUCAUCAUGGCUCUGAAGAAGAAAAAAAGAAAAGGAAAAUCUUGGCACGAAAAAAGUCAAAACGCUCUGCCAAUGAAAGUGGGGAAGAACACUCAGCCAAAUACAGCAACUCAAAUAACUCAGCAGGCUCUGGGGCGAGUUCCCCUUUAACAUCUCCAUCAUCCCCCACUCCGCCCUCCACAGCAGGUAUGUUCAAGAAUCAUUACAGUUUUUAUCUUUUUUAUGUUGUUUUUAUUCCCCUCUGCCCCUCAGUGGUGGUGUUGUCCCAAGGAUGAUCAAGAGAUGGUGGUUUUCAAGGAUGGAACACUGAGAUGUCAGUUACCUUGUGGCAGCCUGAGUGGGCAUGUGCUCUCUUUUGAGGGUCAUAGAGAACCUUUUUGUAACUAUAACCUUUCUGAGAUACACAUGAUAUGAUUUACCCAGGAUGGACAUGCUUGCUUUGGAGUCUGUAUUACCCCAGGCCUACCCACAUUGCAACUUUCCAGGCAUUUUUUGGGCCUCAUGUUGUAGUAUGCAUUUGUUCUGGUGUUAAUGGUCUGCUGACUCUGAAAUACUGCUUGUUCAUCCCUUGUUUAUUUGUUCUUUUUAUUCCUGUACUGCUGUGAUUUAUUUUCAGGAAUUUUAGGUGGGACAAAUUCGGUGGCUUAAGCUUCAUAAAUCUCCCCAGUUCUGCUACACUCCAUUGAUAACCCAGUAGGGUUUGUAGAAACAAAUCUGGAAACAAGAUUGAUUUGGGUUAAAAAUAGUAUCUGUAUUAUUUUUGGCCAGUUCUGUUUUUCAGUUUGCUGGGUGGCUGUGCAGAGAGUUUUGCUAAUGUUUUAGACAGGUGUGGGAAGUGGUGAAGAAUCUGCUUGAGUGGGCAAUGGAAAUGCUCUGAAAUUUUAAUUACAAAUCUGAAUAAUGAGCAGUAGUGGAUAUGCUUCAGUCUGAAAGACUGGGAGAGGAGUACUGGCCAAUAUUAAUAACAAAAGAUGUUAACAGAAUACAUUUCUAGAGGGGAAGCAGCCCAUGGCAUUGCCAUUUUUUAUGGUGACUUUUGCCAUAGGAUUUCUGGUCCCAGGAACUUUCUCCACAGCACAACUCAUUAACAAAGCAAUGCAAUCAAAUUUGUCUUUGCUGUGUGUAGUCUUUCAAAGGACACUGCAGUCUGUGUGAUGUAAUUCAAAUCAGUCAUGCUGAAAUUCAAAUUAGUAAUUUCUCCUUCAAGUUGAGGGCAUGGGAAGUGUGUAUUGUAGGAACUAACUCUCCCAGUUAGCCCAAGAAGAUAAUGCCUGUUACUGUGUUGCACAGUAACAGUGCUGUUCUCUGGCUGCACUGACUGUCAUAUGGAAAAUUUGUUGCCAGUUCUGCCAGGGCUUCCAUAAGGAAGUAGCUGAAAUGUGGCUCCAAAAUGGACAGGUGUUUAGAAAGCAUUUUUUCCCCUAUAAAACUAUUGUUUAGUUAUGUUCUGACUUGGACUUGUUGGAACUUGGUUGAAAGCUUUUCCAAGUUUUAAGCAUGGGAUGCAGGUUUAUGUGCAGAUGUGGAUCAAAAUAGCUCAGGUUUGUGCUCAACACUUGUCUCAGUUCAAAGCAUAUUGUCACAGUGUGUUUGUUGGUCACCUUGUGCCAGUGUGCUCCUGAUGACUCCUGGGGAUCAGCCCUGUAGUGACCUGAUGGCUUGGCUGCUGUUUAUGAGGUGUAAAGCCAAGUGUCACAUUUUCAGGAAUGCUUUUGUGAGUAGAAUUCGUAGAAGUUUGAGAUAUUAAUUCUGAGAGAAAACUAGAUUUUUUUUUUCCACCAGCAGUGUUGUGGUUUUAGCUGUUCUAAGCAAGUCUGCUUUUAUUGCCUUGAGGAAAGACACACCGGUCCCACUUUGUGACAAGUGAUGCAUCUGUAGCUUGCAUUUCUCUCUUCUGAUUUCCUUGUAGUUUCUAAGGAUAUUUACCAAAACUGCUCAUGGGUGUCAGGGUGGUGAGAUGAUCUCAGGAAGGCAUUGAGGCUUUCAGUCUGUCUGUCUGGUUUGGUGUGGCAGUGUUAGAGCUGGGGCCUCCUAAAGCAUCCUGCUGAUACAAUACCACAGCAGAACUGAGGCUGGUGAGGAAAAGUGCCCUCAGGAGAAGCUUUUGCUCUCAUGCUGGCCUGUAUCUACUCAUACAUGGUGUGGUGUGUGCAGAGAGAGACACUGACCACAGGGGAACGGGCUCCAGGCUGGCAUGGCCUGGGGAAGGAGCCCCUGGGGAAGGAACCUCCUGCAGGGAGUUUCUCACGUGUUGAGAGGUUCUUUGUCCCUGAACAAAGGCCUUGAGAGGCUUGGCUGGCAGCAGAGUGCUUGGGAGAGUCGGGGGAAAACAGAGUGAGGAAUAAAACCAUGGUUGGCUUCUGCUGUCUGAUGGCAGCUGUGGGGCUGAGAGCAUGGCCUGCUCUGAGGGGAAGGUGCCUCUGGAGAUGUUGGUUCUCAUGGGCUGUUCUCACUGUGACAAGGUUUUGGGCUGGUGGUGUUGCAGGUUCUUGGCUAAAUAACGUAUUUGAAAUGCAUUGUUAGAUCAUGCAAGUGACUCUAAUGUAACAUCCUGUGUUUCUGACAUUCUCCUGGUGUGGUUCUUGUUUUUUCCCCCCACAAUUCUUUGCUUCUGCUGUGAAAAUCUGUUCAUUUUUUCUGUGGCUGUGAGCAGUGGCUAGGAUCAGAAGGGGUGCAGAACAGUGGGGUAUGGGUCAUUUAAAAUUUCACUGAAUAUUUUCAAAAUCAAAUAAGCCUGUAAGAUACAGCAAGGUCUCUUUCAACAGAGAAAAAUUUGGAAGGUGUCACUUGCUUCUCUGGACUUCCCUGCAGGAAUAGUGAAAGAGUUGUACUUAACAAUCCUUUUCUGUGCCAGUUGCUCUGAAUCCUUCAGUAUGACAUAUGUUUCAUUGGCACCCUUAUGGUGCAUCUUUCCUGCCCCUCACCUUCCUGUAAAACAGGUGGAAUGCUUUAGGAAGUGCUUUUCCUGAGUGUCUCUGACCCCAAGUGUGAAUACAGGUGUUAAUACAGCAGAAAGUGUUUCUUGAACUGAAUGGAUUUUGUCCUCUGUGGCUAAUCUUCCUGCAGAUUUCUUUCUAAAUCUCUCUAAAUGCACUUUAAUCCUGUAGAGCUUGAAUUAUGGCAUGUGCAACUGAAAGCAUGGAUGUUGUAUUUGUUGACCAAGUAUAAUAAUGCUUAGAGCAUGGAAAAUUGUGGUUCAUUUUUCAGAAUUGAAUGAAGUAUUGUAAAUGUAAUAUGAAAUAGUCAAUCUGCUGUCCUCAUAUUUGUCAGUGAGUAAGAAUGUAUUGACCUCUGUACUAACUUUUCAGCUAACAGUGUCUGUUUUUCUUACUUUGACACGAGAACUGGAUGAUUAACUUGUGUCCUCUCUCUUUCUCUGCUGUCUUCAAUAGAGCAUGCAUCAUUUUGAACGUGAAUUUUCGGAAAAGUAAGCUAAUGCUGAUUUAUCUCUUUAAAGAUGCUCUGUUUCUGAAUGGGACAGUUGGAUGCAAAUCUUGAAGUUGCUUAGUAUUGGGAGGGAAUAGAAGAAAAAAAUCUGAAUGUUCUUACAAAUUAUUUUAAUGAAAUACAGCAUCUUUAAAAACUAUCACUAAAAUUAUUUUCUUUGUUCACAUCCCAUUCUCAGCCAAGUUUUUAAUGCUGUUUGCACAAUUGCUGUCACUUUAAAUUCAUAAUUAAGUUUUUGUUUCAAUUCAGGCAUCAAGUUUACAGCAUCUGAUUUACUUCCUAUUCCUUUUAACACACUCUUUUAACAAAAAUGUCCCUGUAAAAACCUUUGGAGCAUCGUCCAUUCCCCCAGCGCCGCCCCCCCCGCCGCCGCCGGCAGCUCCACCCCCGAGCA